CGCCGCCGGCGUGCUGCCCCGGCGUCGCCUCCAGCUGCCGCCCCGCUCCCGCCAGCACCGUCCCGCACGCGAGCGCCGGGAGCAGAAGAGCUGUCGGGAGAGGCAGCUGGGAUUUUCCCCCCUGUUGCGGUGCAGCAGGCAGGGGUUAUUUAUGGACACGUCUGCGGCCUUGCUGGUCCAACGAAGCCCGUACCUUCUCUCUGAGUGUCUUAUCUCCUUUCACCACGACCCUGUGGGGAUGCAGAAAAUCUUACCAAUCACCGAAAAUUCCAUAAUAACAUCGAACAUUCCACCCUGAGAAGAUGUGGCCCCAUCAGUAAGAGGGAUCGCACUCUGAGGUUUGAAAUAACCGCGUUGCCCUUGAUACCAAAGAAAAUACUGUCGUCCUCUCUCCACCUUACGAUAAAAGCUCGGGCACUUUGUUAAGGACACAAAAGCAUCCUGAACGGCAGCUCUGGGCGCCAGAGCUCCAGGCUGGGCAAGGUGGGCGUGCCCACUCCGCGAAGGAAACAUCCCUUCAAAAACCUGGCUUCCCAACGCUUGAAAUGUGCAGUUUACUCUGGAAUGAGGCUCGGAAUUCCACCCACACCCCCCCCUCGAGCUUCCCUUAAAGAGAUGGUUGCACCAAUCAGAGAGCCCAGUGAGGAUGCUAAAUCAUGGAAGACGGGAGGAGCAAGGAGACUGGCGGGAGGAGGCAGCAAAUCCCCGAUGCCCCUCAGGGUCGUCGUCCCCGAAAGAUGCCCGCUCGCCCUGAACCCUCGACCCUCUCCCGAGCCCUGAGAUUCUCCGGAAAGGAAGACUCGUUUUACUUUCACCUGUGGCUCAAGACUGAUAAAUUUCCAGCCACUCCCUCUUCUGACCCCAGUGUCCCAAAACGUUCACCUCUGACAUUUUUGGCCAAGAAAAUGAUCCCGUUGGAAAAAGAUAUCUCCAAAAAGCAGGUAUCACAAAAUAAAGUUGAGUCCGUCCAACUGCAAGGACAUUUCCGCCCCGCCUCCCCAACCCUUUCUCCUUUAUGGAAGGGGAGGGAAUGAAGUCUUGUCCUUAAUUUAAAAAUGUUUAAAUAUUAGUAAUUAGGUGAUUAAAUGAAUAUUUAUUAACCAC